GGCUGGGUAGCUCAGUUGGUAAGAGCAUUGUCCUGAUAUGCCAAGGUCGUGGGUUCAAUCCCCAGUCAGGGCA
rfam:Myotis lucifugus cont2.7463, whole genome shotgun sequence.